CAAUAGCGUAUAUUAAAGUUGCUGCAGUUAAAAAGCUCGUAGUUGCAUUUCCGAGGCAAGGGAUUAGUCCGACCUUUGGUGGGUAUUUAAUCCUCUUGCCUCGUCCUUGAGUGGUGCUUCUUGGUAUUAAGUUAUCGAGGAGAUAGCCGCUCAUCGUUUACUGUGAGAAAAUUAGAGUGUUCAAAGCAGGCUUAUGCCGUUGAAUAUAUUAGCAUGGAAUAAUAAGAUAGGACCUCGGUACUAUUUUGUUGGUUUGAGAACCAAGGUAAUGAUGAAUAGGGACAGUUGGGGGUAUUCGUAUUCAGUUGUCAGAGGUGAAAUUCUUAGAUUUACGGAAGACGAACUACUGCGAAAGCAUUUACCAAGGAUGUUUNCAUUA
rnacentral:rRNA from 1 species